AUUGAACGCUGGCGGCAUGCUUUACACAUGCAAGUCGAACGGUAACAGCACUUCGGUGGCUGACGAGUGGCGAACGGGUGAGUAAUACAUCGGAACGUGCCUAGUAGUGGGGGAUAACUACUCGAAAGAGUAGCUAAUACCGCAUGAGAUCUAAGGAUGAAAGCAGGGGACCUUCGGGCCUUGCGCUACUAGAGCGGCUGAUGGCAGAUUAGGUAGUUGGUGGGAUAAAAGCCUACCAAGCCGACGAUCUGUAGCUGGUCUGAGAGGACGACCAGCCACACUGGGACUGAGACACGGCCCAGACUCCUACGGGAGGCAGCAGUGGGGAAUUUUGGACAAUGGGCGCAAGCCUGAUCCAGCAAUGCCGCGUGCAGGAUGAAGGCCUUCGGGUUGUAAACUGCUUUUGUACGGAACGAAAAGCCCUCUUCUAAUACAGGAGGGUCAUGACGGUACCGUAAGAAUAAGCACCGGCUAACUACGUG
rnacentral:rRNA from 1 species